CCUACGGGAGGCUGCAGUGGGGAAUAUUGGACAAUGGGGGGAACCCUGAUCCAGCCAUGCCGCGUGUGUGAAGAAGGCCCUCGGGUUGUAAAGCACUUUCAGUGAGGAAGAACGCCUGGUGGUUAAUACCCAUCAGGAAAGACAUCACUCACAGAAGAAGCACCGGCUAACUCCGUGCCAGCAGCCGCGGUAAUACGGAGGGUGCGUGCGUUAAUCGGAAUUACUGGGCGUAAAGCGCGCGUAGGUGGCUUGAUAAGCCGGUUGUGAAAGCCCCGGGCUCAACCUGGGAACGGCAUCCGGAACUGUCAAGCUAGAGUGCAGGAGAGGAAGGUAGAAUUCCCGGUGUAGCGGUGAAAUGCGUAGAGAUCGGGAGGAAUACCAGUGGCGAAGGCGGCCUUCUGGACUGACACUGACACUGAGGUGCGAAAGCGUGGGUAGCAAACAGGAUUAGAUACCCCAGUAGUC
rnacentral:rRNA from 1 species